AGAGUUUGAUCAUGGCUCAGGAUGAACGCUAGCGGCAGGCCUAAUACAUGCAAGUCGAACGGGCUGGAGUAGCAAUACUUCAGUUAGUGGCGCACGGGUGCGUAACGCGUAUGCAACCUACCUUUUAUUGGGGGAUAGCCCGAAGAAAUUCGGAUUAAUACCGCAUAACACUGUUUGAGGGCAUCUGAAGACAGUUAAAGCUACGGCGAUAAAAGAUGGGCAUGCGUGACAUUAGCUAGUUGGUGGUGGUAACGGCACACCAAGGCGACGAUGUCUAGGGGUUCUGAGAGGAUGAUCCCCCACACUGGUACUGAGAUACGGACCAGACUCCUACGGGAGGCAGCAGUAGGGAAUAUUGGGCAAUGGCCGAAAGGCUGACCCAGCCAUGCCGCGUGCAGGAUGAAGGCCUUCUGGGUUGUAAACUGCUUUUACCAGGGAAGAAAAUACCUUUGCGAAGGGAACUGACGGUACCUGGUGAAUAAGCACCGGCUAACUCCGUGCCAGCAGCCGCGGUAAUACGGAGGGUGCAAGCGUUGUCCGGAUUUAUUGGGUUUAAAGGGUGCGUAGGCGGCUUGAUAAGUCCGUGGUGAAAGCCAACAGCUCAACUGUUGAACUGCCAUGGAUACUGUCAGGCUUGAGUACAGACGAGGUAGGCGGAAUGGAUCGUGUAGCGGUGAAAUGCAUAGAUACGAUCCAGAACUCCGAUUGCGAAGGCAGCUUACUAGGCUGUAACUGACGCUGAGGCACGAAAGCGUGGGGAGCGAACAGGAUUAGAUACCCUAGUAGUCC
rnacentral:rRNA from 1 species